GAGAUGGGCAAUGGGGAUUGCUUGGGAGGCAAAAACCGAGAGCCACCUCAAAUCCGCGGUGAACAACUUGUCAUUUGGAUUGGUCGACUUGUCGAUUUUCUUGAAUAUAUAUUUAAAAAAAAAAACAAAAAUUGUCAAUUUUAUGUCGCUUUAAUUUGUUGAGAAAAGUUAUUUUAAGUUUGAUAUGCACAAAAGGUUAUUUUAAGUUUGAUGUGCGGUAUGAUGUUUUUAAAUAAUUUGUUCUUUUUCUUGAUAUCAUGUUUUCAAUAUUUGUUUGCAUGACAAAUAUGAAUUUUACUUGAAGAAUGGUUCAUUUAUCUCCGAACAGCUUUGAUUUAAUGUCCUGAAUUUCAAUAUUCUUCUUUCCAAAAAUUGAAGGAAAAGAAAAAUUACUCCAUCUUGGGAUGGAUAGGAUAGGGACUUCUUAUUUGACUUGUUACAAUAAUAGUAGUUCUUGGGUGACAUAGGUGGUAUGACUUUGUAGUGUGUAUGAAUUAUUGUUAAUGAAUUUUGAAUUGCUUA